AAUGGGGGCAACCCUGAUCCAGCCAUGCCGCGUGAAUGAAGAAGGCCUUAGGGUUGUAAAGUUCUUUCACCCGCGAAGAUGAUGACGGUAGCGGGAGAAGAAGCCCCGGCUAACUCCGUGCCAGCAGCCGCGGUAAUACGGAGGGGGCAAGCGUUGUUCGGAAUUACUGGGCGUAAAGGGUGCGCAGGCGGCGUCACCAGUCAGAUGUGAAAUCCCCGGGUUCAACCUGGGAACUGCAUUUGAUACUGUGAUGCUAGAGUUCGGGAGAGGGUAGUGGAAUUCCCAGUGUAGAGGUGAAAUUCGUAGAUAUUGGGAAGAACACCAGUGGCGAAGGCGGCUACCUGGACCGAUACUGACGCUGAGGCACGAAAGCGUGGGGAGCAAACAGGAUU
rnacentral:rRNA from 1 species